rnacentral:rRNA from 1 species
UACGUAGGGUGCAAGCGUUAAUCGGAAUUACUGGGCGUAAAGCGUACGCAGGCGGCUUUGCAAGACAGGUGUGAAAUCCCCGGGCCUAACCUGGGAACUGCAUUUGUGACUGCAUGGCUAGAGUUUGUCAGAGGGGGGUGGAAUUCCACGUGUAGCAGUGAAAUGCGUAGAUAUGUGGAGGAACACCGAUGGCGAAGGCAGCCCCCUGGGUCAACACUGACGCUCAUGCACGAAAGCGUGGGGAGCAAACAGG